CGCCCCUUACUCCUACGGAAUAGGCAGUUAGGAUAUGUUCAAUGACGCAAGUUCUGACAGGCAUGCCGCGUGCAGGAAGACAGCCUUAUGGGUGUAAACCUGCUUUAUACAGGAAUAAAUCAUCCUACGUGUAGGGUGCUGAAGGUACUGUAAGAAUAAGCACCGGCUAACUCCGUGCCAGCAGCCGCGGUAAUACGGAGGGUGCAAGCGUUAUCCGGAUUUAUUGGGUUUAAAGGGUGCGCAGGCGGACCUAUCAGUCAGUGGUGAAAUCCCGAGGCUCAACCUCGGAACUGCCAUUGAUACUGUAGGUCUUGAGUUUGGUUGAAGUGGGCGGAAUGUAGCAUGUAGCGGUGAAAUGCAUAGAUAUGCUACAGAACACCGAUCGCGAAGGCAGCUCACUAAACCAAAACUGACGCUCAGGCACGAAAGCGUGGGUAGCGAACAGGAUUAGAUACCCUGGUAGUCCACGCCGUAAACGAUGAUCACUCGUUGUUGGCGACACACAGUCAGCGACCAAGCGAAAGCGAUAAGUGAUCCACCUGGGGAGUACGUUCGCAAGAAUGAAACUCAAAGGAAUUGACGGGGGCCCGCACAAGCGGUGGAGCAUGUGGUUUAAUUCGAUGAUACGCGAGGAACCUUACCUGGGCUCAAAUGUAAGUUGACGUAUUGGGAAACCAAUAUUUCUUCGGACAAUUUACAAGGUGCUGCAUGGUUGUCGUCAGCUCGUGCCGUGAGGUGUCGGGUUAAGUCCCAUAACGAGCGCAACCCCUAUCAUUAGUUGCCAUCAGGUCAAGCUGGGGACUCUAGUGAAACUGCCUACGCAAGUAGAGAGGAAGGUGGGGAUGACGUCAAAUCAGCACGGCCCUUACGUCCAGGGCUACACACGUGCUACAAUGGCCGGUACAGAGGGCAGCCACCACGCGAGUGGGAGCGAAUCUCGAAAGCCGGUCUCAGUUCGGAUCGAAGUCUGCAACCCGACUUCGUGAAGCUGGAAUCGCUAGUAAUCGCGCAUCAGCCAUGGCGCGGUGAAUACGUUCCCGGGCCUUGCACACACCGCCCGUC
rnacentral:rRNA from 2 species